rnacentral:rRNA from 1 species
UGAACGCUGGCGGCAGGCUUAACACAUGCAAGUCGAGCGGAUGAAGGUAGCUUGCUACCGGAUUCAGCGGCGGACGGGUGAGUAAUGCUUAGGAAUCUGCCUAUUAGUGGGGGACAACGUUCCGAAAGGAGCGCUAAUACCGCAUACGUCUACGGGAGAAAGCAGGGGACCUUUGGGCCUUGCGCUAAUAGAUGAGCCUAAGUCGGAUUAGCUAGUUGGUAGGGUAAAGGCCUACCAAGGCGACGAUCUGUAGCGGGUCUGAGAGGAUGAUCCGCCACACUGGGACUGAGACACGGCCCAGACUCCUACGGGAGGCAGCAGUGGGGAAUAUUGGACAAUGGGGGGAACCCUGAUCCAGCCAUGCCGCGUGUGUGAAGAAGGCCUUUUGGUUGUAAAGCACUUUAAGCGAGGAGGAGGCUACCUAGAUUAAUACUUUAGGAUAGUGGACGUUACUCGCAGAAUAAGCACCGGCUAACUCUGUGCCAGCAGCCGCGGUAAUACAGAGGGUGCGAGCGUUAAUCGGAUUUACUGGGCGUAAAGCGUGCGUAGGCGGCCAAUUAAGUCAAAUGUGAAAUCCCCGAGCUUAACUUGGGAAUUGCAUUCGAUACUGGUUGGCUAGAGUAUGGGAGAGGAUGGUAGAAUUCCAGGUGUAGCGGUGAAAUGCGUAGAGAUCUGGAGGAAUACCGAUGGCGAAGGCAGCCAUCUGGCCUAAUACUGACGCUGAGGUACGAAAGCAUGGGGAGCAAACAGGAUUAGAUACCCUGGUAGUCCAUGCCGUAAACGAUGUCUACUAGCCGUUGGGGCCCUUGAGGCUUUAGUGGCGCAGCUAACGCGAUAAGUAGACCGCCUGGGGAGUACGGUCGCAAGACUAAAACUCAAAUGAAUUGACGGGGGCCCGCACAAGCGGUGGAGCAUGUGGUUUAAUUCGAUGCAACGCGAAGAACCUUACCUGGCCUUGACAUACAGAGAACUUUCCAGAGAUGGAUUGGUGCCUUCGGGAACUCUGAUACAGGUGC